rnacentral:rRNA from 1 species
AGGACGAACGCUGGCGGCGUGCUUAACACAUGCAAGUCGAGCGGUAAGGCCUUUCGGGGUACACGAGCGGCGAACGGGUGAGUAACGACGUGGGUGAUCUGCCCUGCACUUCGGGAUAAGCCUGGGAAACUGGGUCUAAUACCGGAUAUGACUUCAGGUUGCGUGACGUUGGGGUGGAAAGAUUUA